AGACCCGAAACCCGGUGAUCUAGCCAUGGGCAGGUUGAAGGUUGGGUAACACUAACUGGAGGACCGAACCGACUAAUGUUGAAAAAUUAGCGGAUGACCUGUGGCUGGGGGUGAAAGGCCAAUCAAACCGGGAGAUAGCUGGUUCUCCCCGAAAGCUAUUUAGGUAGCGCCUCGUGAAUUCAUCUCCGGGGGUAGAGCACUGUUUCGGCUAGGGGGCCAUCCCGGCUUACCAACCCGAUGCAAACUGCGAAUACCGGAGAAUGUUAUCACGGGAGACACACGGCGGGUGCUAACGUCCGUCGUGAAGAGGGAAACAACCCAGACCGCCAGCUAAGGUCCCAAAGUCAUGGUUAAGUGGGAAACGAUGUGGGAAGGCCCAGACAGCCAGGAUGUUGGCUUAGAAGCAGCCAUCAUUUAAAGAAAGCGUAAUAGCUCACUGGUCGAGUCGGCCUGCGCGGAAGAUGUAACGGGGCUAAACCAUGCACCGAAGCUGCGGCAGCGACACUCAGGUGUUGUUGGGUAGGGGAGCGUUCUGUAAGCCUGCGAAGGUGGCCUGUGAGGGUUGCUGGAGGUAUCAGAAGUGCGAAUGCUGACAUAAGUAACGAUAAAGCGGGUGAAAAGCCCGCUCGCCGGAAGACCAAGGGUUCCUGUCCAACGUUAAUCGGGGCAGGGUGAGUCGACCCCUAAGGCGAGGCCGAAAGGCGUAGUCGAUGGGAAACGGGUUAAUAUUCCCGUACUUGGUGUUACUGCGAAGGGGGGACGGAGAAGGCUAUGUUGGCCGGGCGACGGUUGUCCCGGUUUAAGCGUGUAGGUGUGUGUUCCAGGUAAAUCCGGUUCACUUUAACACUGAGGCGUGAUGACGAGGCACUACGGUGCUGAAGCAACAAAUGCCCUGCUUCCAGGAAAAGCCUCUAAGCAUCAGGUAACAUCAAAUCGUACCCCAAACCGACACAGGUGGUCAGGUAGAGAAUACCAAGGCGCUUGAGAGAACUCGGGUGAAGGAACUAGGCAAAAUGGUGCCGUAACUUCGGGAGAAGGCACGCUGACAUGUAGGUGAAGUGAUUUACUCAUGGAGCUGAAGUCAGUCGAAGAUACCAGCUGGCUGCAACUGUUUAUUAAAAACACAGCACUGUGCAAACACGAAAGUGGACGUAUACGGUGUGACGCCUGCCCGGUGCCGGAAGGUUAAUUGAUGGGGUCAGCGCAAGCGAAGCUCCUGAUCGAAGCCCCGGUAAACGGCGGCCGUAACUAUAACGGUCCUAAGGUAGCGAAAUUCCUUGUCGGGUAAGUUCCGACCUGCACGAAUGGCGUAAUGAUGGCCAGGCUGUCUCCACCCGAGACUCAGUGAAAUUGAACUCGCUGUGAAGAUGCAGUGUACCCGCGGCAAGACGGAAAGACCCCGUGAACCUUUACUAUAGCUUGACACUGAACAUUGAGCCUUGAUGUGUAGGAUAGGUGGGAGGCUUUGAAGCGUGGACGCCAGUCUGCGUGGAGCCGACCUUGAAAUACCACCCUUUAAUGUUUGAUGUUCUAACGUGGAUCCGUAAUCCGGGUUGCGGACAGUGUCUGGUGGGUAGUUUGACUGGGGCGGUCUCCUCCUAAAGAGUAACGGAGGAGCACGAAGGUUGGCUAAUCCUGGUCGGACAUCAGGAGGUUAGUGCAAUGGCAUAAGCCAGCUUGACUGCGAGCGUGACGGCGCGAGCAGGUGCGAAAGCAGGUCAUAGUGAUCCGGUGGUUCUGAAUGGAAGGGCCAUCGCUCAACGGAUAAAAGGUACUCCGGGGAUAACAGGCUGAUACCGCCCAAGAGUUCAUAUCGACGGCGGUGUUUGGCACCUCGAUGUCGGCUCAUCACAUCCUGGGGCUGAAGUAGGUCCCAAGGGUAUGGCUGUUCGCCAUUUAAAGUGGUACGCGAGCUGGGUUUAGAACGUCGUGAGACAGUUCGGUCCCUAUCUGCCGUGGGCGCUGGAGAACUGAGGGGGGCUGCUCCUAGUACGAGAGGACCGGAGUGGACGCAUCACUGGUGUUCGGGUUGUCAUGCCAAUGGCACUGCCCGGUAGCUAAAUGCGGAAGAGAUAAGUGCUGAAAGCAUCUAAGCACGAAACUUGCCCCGA
rnacentral:rRNA from 1 species